rnacentral:rRNA from 1 species
GACGAACGCUGGCGGCGUGCUUAACACAUGCAAGUCGAACGCUGAAGCUCAGCUUUUGUUGGGUGGAUGAGUGGCGAACGGGUGAGUAACACGUGAGUAACCUGCCUCCUUCUUUGGGAUAACGCCCGGAAACGGGUGCUAAUACUGGAUAUUCACUGGUCUUCGCAUGGGGGUUGGUGGAAAGGGUUUUUCUGGUGGGGGAUGGGCUCGCGGCCUAUCAGCUUGUUGGUGGGGUGAUGGCCUACCAAGGCUUUGACGGGUAGCCGGCCUGAGAGGGUGACCGGUCACAUUGGGACGGAGAUACGGCCCAGACUCCUACGGGAGGCAGCAGUGGGGAAUAUUGCACAAUGGGCGCAAGCCUGAUGCAGCGACGCCGCGUGAGGGAUGGAGGCCGUCGGGUUGUGAACCUCUUUCGCUCAUGGUCAAGCCGCAACAAUGGUUGUGGUGAGGGUAGUGGGUAAAGAAGCGCCGGCUAACUACGUG